AUUUAUAUAGUAUAAAAUAUUACAUUUAAUUUCCAUUUAAAAAAUUAAAAAUAUUAUUUAUAUAAAUA
rnacentral:tRNA from 2 species